CAAUGUUCUUGUACAAUAUGGAGACGUUAAAAUAAAUGAUCCAACAGCUGAUUCAGUCGGUAACAAAUUUCUGAUAUCAUAAAAGAUUCAUAAUACAAAGGGAACUUCCUCUGCUUAAUUGAGCCCCUAAAUAAAUGUGAACAGUUAAGUUUUAUUCAAAAUUGUCGAAAGCAAAGUUUCAUAUGUGUUCUCGUACAAAUACUGAAUAACAGACGGACGGCUACACGAAAAAAAA
rnacentral:lncRNA from 1 species